rnacentral:rRNA from 1 species
UACGGAGGGAGCUAGCGUUGUUCGGAAUUACUGGGCGUAAAGCGCACGUAGGCGGCUUUGUAAGUCAGAGGUGAAAGCCUGGAGCUCAACUCCAGAACUGCCUUUGAGACUGCAUCGCUUGAAUCCGGGAGAGGUGAGUGGAAUUCCGAGUGUAGAGGUGAAAUUCGUAGAUAUUCGGAAGAACACCAGUGGCGAAGGCGGCUCACUGGACCGGUAUUGACGCUGAGGUGCGAAAGCGUGGGGAGCAAACAGG